AACGUAGGUGGCGAGCGUUAUCCGGAUUCAUUGGGCGUAAAGCGCUUGUAGGUGGCCUUGUAAGUUGGACGUGAAAUCUCCCGGCUUAACCGGGCGGGGUCGUUCAAUACUGCAGGGCUGGAGGAUGUCAGAGGGCAGCGGAAUUCCUGGUGUAGCGGUGAAAUGCGUAGAUAUCAGGAGGAACACCUGCGGUGUAGACGGCUUACUGGACCAUCACUGACGCUGAGGCACGAAAGCGUGGGUAGCAAACAGG
rnacentral:rRNA from 1 species